GCCAGUGUGGUGUAAUGAUUUGAGCAUUCGACUACAACUCUGGAGAUCAGGGUUCAAAUCACUGCUUGGCCA